ACCCGCUGAACUUAAGCAUAUCAAUAAGCGGAGGAAAAGAAACCAACAGGGAUUGCCCCAGUAACGGCGAGUGAAGCGGCAACAGCUCAAAUUUGAAAUCUGGCCCUCGGGUCCGAGUUGUAAUUUGUAGAGGAUGCUUUUGGCGCGGUGCCUUCCGAGUUCCCUGGAACGGGACGCCAUAGAGGGUGAGAGCCCCGUCUGGUUGGAUGCCAAGCCUCUGUAAAGCUCCUUCGACGAGUCGAGUAGUUUGGGAAUGCUGCUCUAAAUGGGAGGUAUAUGUCUUCUAAAGCUAAAUACCGGCCAGAGACCGAUAGCGCACAAGUAGAGUGAUCGAAAGAUGAAAAGCACUUUGAAAAGAGGGUUAAAUAGUACGUGAAAUUGUUGAAAGGGAAGCGUUUAUGACCAGACUUGGGCCUGGCUGAUCAUCCGGUGUUCUCACCGGUGCACUCUGCCGGCUCAGGCCAGCAUCAGUUCGUAGCGGGGGAUAAAGGCGGCGGGAACGUGGCUCCCUCGGGAGUGUUAUAGCCCGCCGUGUAAUACCCUGCGUCGGACUGAGGUUCGCGCUUCUGCAAGGAUGCUGGCGUAAUGGUCAUCAACGACCCGUCUUGAAACACGGACCAAGGAGUCGUCUUCGUAUGCGAGUGUUCGGGUGUCAAACCCCUACGCGUAAUGAAAGUGAACGCAGGUGAGAGCUUCGGCGCAUCAUCGACCGAUCCUGAUGUUCUCGGAUGGAUUUGAGUAAGAGCAUACGGGGCCGGACCCGAAAGAAGGUGAACUAUGCCUGUAUAGGGUGAAGCCAGAGGAAACUCUGGUGGAGGCUCGCAGCGGUUCUGACGUGCAAAUCGAUCGUCAAAUAUGGGCAUGGGGGCGAAAGACUAAU
rnacentral:rRNA from 1 species